rnacentral:rRNA from 1 species
AUCUGAGUCAGGUAAGAGUACCC